AUUGAACGCUGGCGGCAGGCUUAACACAUGCAAGUCGAGCGGAGAGAGGUAGCUUGCUACUGAUCUUAGCGGCGGACGGGUGAGUAAUGCUUAGGAAUCUGCCUAUUAGUGGGGGACAACACUUCGAAAGGAAUGCUAAUACCGCAUACGUCCUACGGGAGAAAGCAGGGGAUCUUCGGACCUUGCGCUGAUAGAUGAGCCUAAGUCGGAUUAGCUAGUUGGUGGGGUAAAGGCCUACCAAGGCGACGAUCUGUAGCGGGUCUGAGAGGAUGAUCCGCCACACUGGGACUGAGACACGGCCCAGACUCCUACGGGAGGCAGCAGUGGGGAAUAUUGGACAAUGGGCGGAAGCCUGAUCCAGCCAUGCCGCGUGUGUGAAGAAGGCCUUAUGGUUGUAAAGCACUUUAAGCGAGGAGGAGGCUACUUUAGUUAAUACCUAGAGAUAGUGGACGUUACUCGCAGAAUAAGCACCGGCUAACUCUGUGCCAGCAGCCGCAGUAA
rnacentral:rRNA from 1 species